AUUCAGCUUCUUAAUCCUAUGCUAUAUAAACACCAUUCAUGAAUUUGCCUCAUCAAAAAAUUGUGAACGCUAAGAGAACAAAGAAAACUUAUUAACCAGAGAAGAAAACAAUGAGUUCAGAAGAUUGCCUUGGUUGGGCUGCAAGAGAUGCAUCUGGACAUCUCUCCCCAUACAAAUUCAAUCGCAGCAGAGAUAGACUGCCUCAAUUGGAUAUACAUUCGGCGGCAGCAUGUUCGAGAUAAAUGAAGUGAAGGGUGGCAGUUCGUACGGUGCCCGAACUUAUGCUGGUGGUGAUAGAUCAAGACAACCAACUAAACUUGAGUUGGAGCAAGCAUUAUAUUGCCACCAUCACUAAGAAGCUCAAGAAAGAAUGAAACUAUCCAUAAAUUAGGAUAUUGAAUCUUGAUGAGUCCACUAGUAGUUACUUGUCAUCUAAUGUAUUCGGUUUGUAUUAUGGCAUGGAAAUAAUUGCUUCUUAUUAUAAAGAAAGCACUUUGUACUCACUGGUGUGUUUUUCUAUUUGUACCAUCAAUAAAAAUUUGUAUUUAUUAAAUUUA